rnacentral:rRNA from 1 species
AUUGAACGCUGGCGGCAGGCCUAACACAUGCAAGUCGAGCGGUAGAGAGGUGCUUGCAUCUCUUGAGAGCGGCGGACGGGUGAGUAAUGCCUAGGAAUCUGCCUAGUGGUGGGGGAUAACGUUCGGAAACGGACGCUAAUACCGCAUACGUCCUACGGGAGAAAGCGGGGGAUCUUCGGACCUCGCGCCAUUAGAUGAGCCUAGGUCGGAUUAGCUAGUUGGUGAGGUAAUGGCUCACCAAGGCGACGAUCCGUAACUGGUCUGAGAGGAUGAUCAGUCACACUGGAACUGAGACACGGUCCAGACUCCUACGGGAGGCAGCAGUGGGGAAUAUUGGACAAUGGGCGAAAGGACCUGAUCCAGCCAUGCCG